UUGAACUCAAAGUGUGUUUGUCUGAUGAAAACAUUUUUUAGAUUGUUUGAUAUCAUUUUUGUUAGAACUUCUACAUGGUAAUAGAUUAUAAUGCGACUUCAAAAUACUUCAGUCUUUGUCAAUAAGUGACUUGAUCAAAGUUAGUUAUUCUACAAGUGCGUUUAAACCUUUUUUUCUUAAAGUUGCUAAAUGAAAGCUGUUCUCGUGAACAACAAAACUGUUGGUGAACACAAAACUGUGUGCUAAUUUGAAUUUGUUGUUAGCUUUUUCAAAUAGACCUACACACACUGUGGUAUAAUUUCUGGCUCAGAUUGAUUGCUGGUUAUGGUUUUUGCCUCUUUACAAAUAAUUGCUGAUCUAAAUGCUAUUUAGUGGACUAUGUAACUUCCGUUGCAGAUGAUGUUAGGAUAAUGCUAGAUGUUUACAAGUUUUGUUUGGGUGGUUUGAUUCUGUCGAUCUUGUAGCUUGGAUCCUGUCCCUCAAGCCAGUACGUCAGGAUUUCACCUU